GAUGAACGCUGGCGGCGUGCUUAACACAUGCAAGUCGAGCGAAGCGAUUUUAAGGAAGUUUUCGGAUGGAAUUAAAAUUGACUUAGCGGCGGACGGGUGAGUAACGCGUGGGUAACCUGCCUCAUACAGGGGGAUAACAGUUAGAAAUGACUGCUAAUACCGCAUAAGCGCACAGUGCUGCAUAGCACAGUGUGAAAAACUCCGGUGGUAUGAGAUGGACCCGCGUCUGAUUAGGUAGUUGGUGAGGUAAUGGCUAACCAAGCCGACGAUCAGGAGCCGAACUGAGAGGGUGACCGGCCACAUUGGGACUGGGACACAGCCCAAACUGCUACGGGAGGCAGCAGUGGGGAAUAUUGGACAAUGGGGUAAACCCUGAUCGAGCGACGCCGCGUGAGUGAAGAAGUGUUUCGGCAUGUAAAGCUCUAUCAGCAGGGAAGAAAAUGACGGUACCUGACUAAGAAGCCCCGGCUAACUACGUGCCAGCCGCCGCAGUAA
rnacentral:rRNA from 1 species